UAAGACGAAGGGGGCUAGCGUUGUUCGGAAUUACUGGGCGUAAAGGGCGCGCAGGCGGCUUUGCAAGUCAGGCGUUAAAGACCCAGGCUCAACCUGGGGAAUGCGCUUGAUACUGCAGAGCUUGAGAUCGGAAGAGGAGAGUGGAAUUCCCAGUGUAGAGGUGAAAUUCGUAGAUAUUGGGAAGAACACCAGUGGCGAAGGCGGCUCUCUGGUCCGAUUCUGACGCUGAGGCGCGAAAGCGUGGGGAGCAAACAGGAUUAGAUACCCUGGUAGUCCACGCCGUAAACGAUGUGUGCUGGACGUUGGAAGGCCUAGCCUUUCGGUGUCGUAGCUAACGCGUUAAGCACACCGCCUGGGGAGUACGGCCGCAAGGUUA
rnacentral:rRNA from 1 species